UACGGAGGGCGCGAGCGUUAAUCGGAAUUACUGGGCGUAAAGCGCGCGUAGGCUGUUGUGUAAGUUGGGGGUGAAAUCCCACGGCUCAACCGUGGAACAGCCCUUGAUACUGCGCGACUUGAAUCCGGGAGAGGGUGGCGGAAUUCCAGGUGUAGGAGUGAAAUCCGUAGAUAUCUGGAGGAACAUCAGUGGCGAAGGCGGCCACCUGAACCGGUAUUGACGCUGAGGCGCGAAAGCGUGGGGAGCAAACAGG
rnacentral:rRNA from 1 species